rnacentral:rRNA from 1 species
AUGCACGCUGGCGGCGUGCCUAAUACAUGCAAGUCGCGCGAACAGACGAGGAGCUUGCUCCUCUGACGUUAGCGGCGGACGGGUGAGUAACACGUGGAUAACCUACCUAUAAGCCUGGGAUAACUUCGGGAAACCGGAGCUAAUACCGGAUAAUAUAUUGAACCGCAUGGUUCAAUAGUGAAAGACGGUUUUGCUGUCACUUAUAGAUGGAUCCGCGCCGCAUUAGCUAGUUGGUAAGGUAACGGCUUACCAAGGCAACGAUGCGUAGCCGACCUGAGAGGGUGAUCGGCCACACUGGAACUGAGACACGGUCCAGACUCCUACGGGAGGCAGCAGUAGGGAAUCUUCCGCAAAGGGCGAAAGCUUGACGGAGCAACGCCGCGUGAGUGAUGAAGGUCUUCGGAUCGUAAAACUCUGUUAUUAGGGAAGAACAAAUGUGUAAGUAACUAUGCACGUCUUGACGGUACCUAAUCAGAAAGCCACGGCUAACUACGUG